GUUUUAUUUUAAUUUUUACUUUACUUUUUUUUACCUUGAUUUUUUUUUUUUUUUUUUUUUUUUUUUUUAAUUAAAACUUUAAAACUAAUAUGUAGGAAAAAACUCAAUUAUAUAUUGUUUUUAACAAAAUAACGUGAAAGGAAUGAUUUUUUAAAAUUUUUAUUAUUACAUGCGUGUUUUUUUUUUUUUUUUUUUUUUUUUUUUUUAUUUUACAAAACCACUAUAUUUUUUCCUAUGUAAAAAAGGUAAAAUGUACAUUGCAAGCCAUUUAUAUAUAUACGCAUAUGUUAUAUACUUACAUUAUCAAUAUAUCGUUUUUAUGUGUCACUUCAUAUGCUUCUAUUCACGCACCAAAUUGUUUUAUUGUUUUGGGAUUUCAGUUACUACUUUACUUUUUUGAUCAUUUUUGUUUUAUUUAUUUAUUUAUUUAUUUAUUUAUUUCUUUUUUUUUGUUACAUAAUUAAACUAUCUACAUAAAUAACUUUUAAAACAUUUCAAGUUCUUCUUUUUUUCUAUGUUAGUAAAGUAUAUAUACAUAUAUAAAUGUAUAAAUCCCAAUUAUGGAGACUAAAAAAAAAUUAAAUAUAUAUAUAUGUACUCAUACAAAUAUGUAUUUAUGCGUAUAUAUAUAGUACAAGAACAAAGGUAAAAAAAAAAAAAAAAAAAAAAAAAAAAAAAGUUAAACAGUGUUUCGUCAUACUUGAAGUCUUUUAACAGCAUUUUAUAGUGCUCACCAAAAAUAGAGAAAACAAAAUAACAAAUUAACAUUUUAUUUUGUUUAAAAUAAAUAUUAAUUGUUUCAAAAAAGUUUGAAAAAUAAGAAAAAUUAAAAAGUCAUGAAGCCUUAAAAUGAAUAAAAAUAUAGCAUAAAAAGUUAUACUGUCAUAUCUUAUAUAAACGUAUGUAUCCAUUUAUAUAUAUAUUUUUUUUAUAAUAGCUAUUUAUAUUUAAAAAAAAAAAUGGAGGAAACGAAUAAGGAAAAGACUAAGGAAAAAAAAAUUAAGAAAGCACAAAAGCCUUUAGUUGUUAGUAAUAGAAAACCGUUCAAUGUAUUUGAAAAAAAUAAACAGUCGAAGCCUGCAGUGAGAGACCCUAGGUUUUCAGACUUUUCAGGCACUUUUAAUCCAAACUUUUUUAGAAACGCUUAUAAAUUUUUAUACGAAUCGAGAGAACAAGAAAAAGAUUUAAUCCGAGAACAAUUAAAAUCUAAGAAAUUAACAGAAGAAGAAAAAAAAGAGUUAAAAAAAAAAUAUAAUAAUUAUAAUAACACAAGUAUGAUACUUAAAAAAAAAGAAGAAGAAAGAAAAUUAAAGACACAACUUGUUAAACAAGAAAAACAAAAUAUAUUAACAAAAAAUAAAAUGCCAUAUUAUUAUAGUGAUAGAAAAAUAAAAAAAAUGGUACAGGAACAAAAUUCAAAUAAUAUUAGUAUUAAAAAAAUUAUCAAAAAAGAAAAAAAACAUUUACAAAAAGAAAAAAAGAAAAAUAUAAUACCACAAAGAAGAUAUUUUGAAAACAGCUAAAAAUUUUGUAAGAAUAACAUUUUACUUAUUUUCUUACGAUUUUUAAUGUUUGUAAUAAUAUCCUCAAUUUGUUUGUAUACAUAUUUAGUUGACGUA
ensembl:lncRNA